GCGGUGGAGGCAGGGGCACCAGGGUGGCAAUAUCAAUGUCAACUUUCAUUCUCUACCUGGGAGAACUUGCCGUCUAUGAAAGUUAAGAGUUGCAGCUAAGCUCUAUUGUUUCUUAGCUACAAACUAUGAGGAAAACAUACGAGGAAAUCCCAGGAAGAAUUAAGCUUUCAAUUUUCUUUUAAUUUCUUUGCUCACAAAUAAAAUCAGCGUUAAAGCCUCUAGAAGAAAAUCAGUACUGGUCAUAUCCUACUUAGAUGUCAUUUUCAAAGAAAGAAGUCUUAUCAAAAUUGAAUGAAAGAAGAAAACUACAAGAAAAUGACCUAAAGGAAAGGGAAUAAAAGAAAACACGAUCUUUUCUGGACGUUCAGUAUUAAAAGUUUUCAUGCUCGUUGAAAUGAAAAUUACAAAAUCAGAACUACAUAGUAGAUUUUGCAAGCAUGCAGCCAGAAGUGUAAGGGCUGGUGGACUUUAGGGGCCUAUGACUAGGAGACAGACUGGAAAACCAGAGACAGUAUUGCGAACAUAAGCUACCUUUGCCAAAUAAAUUCUGGAACUUACUUCUUGAACUGAGAAGUUCAGAGAUGUUUUGGGACAGGACGCCAGACAGUUUGGAAUGACUUACUUGAUCUUACUGAAAAAAAAAUACAAUGUCUUUGAUUACUCCUCUCAGAGUUAGUCUUAUUUCCUACUUUAAUUUUUAAGGUUUUACCUUUGCAUAUUAUUGUAUACUUGAACAUUCAUAAUAAUUCUUAAUUUUUUCAUAAAAAUGUAUUUAUCUGCGUGUGUGUAUGUGUGUACGUGUGUGCUGUUUGUGCAUCUGUGUCUAUGUUUUUAUAAAUAUCCCCUAAAUAGAUUGUGGUAGCUUGUUUCUUGUUUUCAGGUUGGCUACUAUCAAUUUCUCUCCUCCCUGUAUCUAUCUAUUGCUCUACUCCCUUGAAUCUGGGCUCAUUUGUGACAGAUUUGCCGAACAGAAUAUAGUGGAAGUGACGCUUCAUGACUUCCAACACUUCCCACACUUUGAAGCUUCUACCUGGGUCUCCUGGAAUUCUUUGUCUUGAAAUGCCACGCUGUUUGAAACCCAAGCCACACUAUGGCUAUGUGGAGAGACAAAAGAGGGAGAAAUCCCUGACCAGCCCAUAGGUAUUCUAGCUAUCCUAGCCUAGGAGCCAGGCAUGUGAGUAAAGAAGCUUUCAGAUAAUUCCAGCCUCAUCUGUCAUAUUUCUGCAACCAUUUGAAGGACACAAAGGUGAGUAAUGCUCAGCUUCGUCAACCCCCAGAAAAAUGAAACAUAACAAUAAGUGACGUUUUAAGCUACUAAGUUUUGGUGUGGUGUGUUACACACAGCAAUAAAUAACUGGAACAUACAAUAGACAUCUGAAGAGAGACCUAACAUUUCUUACUUACAUCAUAAUACUAUAAAAUUCAUC